rnacentral:lncRNA from 1 species
UGUUCACGAGAAAUAUUGGUCUAUAAUUUUAUUUUUUGUAAUGUCUUUGUUUUUUAUUACAGAUAAUUCCAGCCUCAUAGAAUGAGUUGGGAAGUAUUCCUUUCUAUUCAAUUUCUUUAGAAGAGCUUUUCUAGAAUGAGAGAGAGAGAGCACACAUGCAAGAAGAGAAACAGAGGGAGAGGGAGAGAAGCAGACUCCUUGCUGAGCAUGGAGCCUGACUCUGGCUUGAUCUCACAAUCCCGAAAUCAUGACCUGAGCCCAAAUCAAGAGAUGGAUGCUUAAGCAACUGAACUACCCAGGUGCCUCACUUUGCCUUUAUCUUUAAAAGAUAUCUUUGCUAUGUAUAAAAUUCUGGUUUGAGGGGUGCCUGGGUGGCUCAGAUGGUUAAGCAUCUGCCUUUGGCUCAAGUCAUGAUCCUGGAGUCCUGAGACUAAGCUCCAACUUGGGCUUCCUGCUCAACAGGGAGCCUGCUUCUUCCUCUCCUUCUGCCCUUUCCUCUGAUUGUGUUCUUUCUCUCUCAAAUAAAUAAAAUAUUUUUUAAAAAAUUCUAGUUUGACAGUUUGGGGAGGAGGUUCUUUAAAUAUAUUGUUCAAGUGCUUUCUGACUUGCAUUGUUCCCCAUAAAAAAU